CCGCCAAGCAGGUGCGGGGAGCCAGGCUCCGCGCGCAGGCGACGUACAAGGUGAAGCUGGUGACGCCCGAGGGCGAGGUGGAGCUGGAGGUCCCCGACGACGUCUACAUCCUGGACCAGGCCGAGGAGGAGGGCAUCGACCUGCCCUACUCCUGCCGCGCCGGCUCCUGCUCCUCCUGCGCCGGCAAGUUGGUGUCCGGCGAGAUCGACCAGUCCGACCAGAGCUUCCUCGACGACGACCAGAUGGAGGCAGGGUGGGUGCUCACCUGCCACGCCUACCCCAAGUCCGACAUCGUCAUCGAGACCCACAAGGAGGAGGAGCUCACCGCAUAAGCUGCUUACCCUGCCUCUCUUUGCAACAAGAUCGAGCUGAUAUCAUAUUAUCUCCCAUCAUGCAUGCAUGCAUGGAUAUCGCCAGAUACACCGAUUUGUUUGUGCUCGAAUGAAUUGCUCGAUGCAUGGUUUGCUCCAGUAAUAAUGUCUUCGAAUUACUACCUUUUUGUACCGUAAGAUAUACUACUGUCGUAAUACUAGCGUGUACUUAAUUCAACGUACUGAAAUGAAUCCUGAUGGCUGAGGUGUCUCUCUGAUUAAUAAUAUCUUCUUUUUUACUUAAGAUAAGAGACUGCUGAAUGUUGGUUGCUAACGGUGGUGGUUGAUGUUGAAGUUUUGUUGCUGCAAGUUGAUUGCUUCGCCGCGUUAUGCCUUGCCUUGUUUCUCAUUUAUGUAUUUUUGAUGAUGCAUCGUCGCACUAGGUAGCUCUUGAAUUGUGUUUGGGGGCACCUUGAAAUUAAUAAACAGUAAGGUAGGUCACAAUGUCUUCAACCCCCUUUCUAGAAACCACUCUAACAUCAAAUAGAAUAUUACUCUAUUGAUUAGUACAGAGAUGCUAUAUACACUUUGUCACAGUUUGUACAGAGAUUGUAGGUGAAUGCAAUUGAAUUAAACCAUAUGUGACAUGCACCGUGAAGUCGAAACCUUGCAACAUAGUGUCAGAAAUAACAAAUCGAUGUCUUACUUCAUUAGAUGUGGAACCAUCUACCCUCGUUGUUGAUCAUCAUAAUGGUUUUAUAAACCCCCAACAUGUUGUGUUUUAAAACGAUUGUACCAUGUUCUUGUUUCGACUGCCGGGGGGAGGGCUCGUGAUGACCUACUCUUUCUCAAGUUAUCAUGUUAGUCACUUGGAUGACUUAGGCCCUGUUUGGAACUAUAAUACUCCCUCCGUUCCAUAAUAUAAGUCUUUUUAAAGAUUCCACUAAAAAACUACAUACAGAUGUAUAUAAACAUACUUUAGAGUGUAGAUUCACACAUUUUGCUCCGUAUGUAGUCCACUAGUGAAAUCGCUUAAAAGACUUAUAUUUAGGAACGGAGGGAGUAGAUUAUAAUAAUCUAGAUUAUGAAGAUAGAUUAUAUAAUCUGGUUUAUAAAAAUAAUCUAGAUGGACAUGUUUGGAGGCCGGAUUAUAUAAACUGUAAUCCAGAUUUUACAUUGCAUAAUGACCUGUCUGCCCUCUGUUUAAAAAAAAAAAAGGGUGGCGGUGGUAGGAAUGUAAUUAUCUCCAACUUUACAAGGGUAAUAGAUCAUUAGCAAUCCAUAAUCUGAUUUUAGCUGGUAUAGACUAGAUUAUGAGUUUUUAAUAAUAUAUCCAUCUAGUUUUUAUAAUCUACACCAUAAGCUGUCCUGUUUGAAGACAAAAUAGAUUAUAGAAACUGGAUUAUAUAAUCUGGAUGGUUCCAAACAGGGCCUUAGAUGGAGAUAAUGCACACCAUUGAAAAAAUUAUACUUAUAGAUAGGGUCACUUUAGUGGCUGGAAUAGUCUCGGACCUGUCACUCGUACUUCGGUCCAACAACGUACAUGCCAUUGCAAUUUACUGAGCAGGGAUUGCCGCCCGCCACUGAUUUUCUAGUCCCACAUUGGCCAUGGGGAAACCUUUUCAGUGGCGGGCGGUCGGGUACAACCUACCACUGGCAGUGAAGUUGUCACUGGCAGGCACCGGUUUCCUCCAACCAUUAGUGCACCACAUAUGUAAUUUUCUAAUUUCCUGCAUUUGUUUUUACAUUUUAGUGUGGUAUUCUUUUGUGACUUUGUUACUGUAUGAGAAUUGUUUGACCUUUGUAGUAUCUUUAUUUGCUAUAUUUUAGACAUUUUAUUAAUAAAGUUGUAUUUAAUUGAAUAUAAUUAUAUUUUUUGAACUACAACUAUAUAUUUUAAAUUACUUUCAAAGGUUCGAAGACAAAUAUUUAUGUCUCGUGAAACAAUAGUAUUGUUUCACCAAUAUUUGAGCAGUUUUUCAGCAUAUGUAGUUCAUAUUUAAUUUAUGUCCAUUAGAUAAACUAAAAAUGCAUUUAAUGCCCCAAAUAUAUCAUAUAAACCUAGAAACGCAUUUAAUGCCCCAAAUAUAUCAUAGAAAACUAGAAUAGUCCUGAAUUUGACCAAGGAACUUGUAAUGGUGUAUACCAAAAAUAAAAAAAGUUUCUGUUAAAAAAUGAUGAAAAAAUUGUGUUCCCAUUCAAACCCAACAUUUUCCCUUAGAAACGUUGAUACUUCCGUGGAGACUGUUAUUUCUACGUGAAGUGCAUCGGAUUUUUUCUGUGAGUCUCUAAUUUUGUUACCACACCUUCGGUUUCAUAUCAUGACACCAUGCAAAGUUCCAUCAUUUUCAAACUGAAUUUACAUCUAUGUAUAAAAAAAAUCAAUACUCUUAAUAGCUAGAAAUUGAUCUGAUGCUUAAAAAUAGCAAAUCAACCCAAAAGGUGAUAAAGUCUAUCAUGAGUCUUUAUGAAGUAAAUUCAACCCCACAAAAGGUGGAAAUUAAAUUCUACCCCUAAAGCAGUAAAGCAAACAUAUUGCAAAAAAUGCAAAAAAGUAGCGUGCGACCAUAAACACCCUCCAUUGAUUGAUUUUGGUCACAUUCCCGCGAGUGAGUGGGACAUGCCCGCACCUUCAACCUGCAAAUGUGGUUGCCUUAUCCCCCAUUGUCGACCUCUCCCAUCCGACUCUACCCAAUCCCUAGCUUGCAAUCACCAUUGCUGCACCCGUCGUUGUCGCCGGCGAGGGAAUCAUCGUCUUUUUCAUGGGUUGUCAUUGUUGCAACAACCCCGGUCAGCGUGGCCGAAAUGCCCACCCCAUGGCCUCCUCCACCAGCAAUGGUGGCCUAACCCGCUGCCACUAGCCUCCUCUUCCUCCAAGCCCGAUGCCUUUAACUCUCCCCAUGUCUCCUUGCGCGUCGGUGGCCCCAAUCUCCUGGUUGUAUUUUGCAAUUGCAAAGGACAUUGUAUUCGUUGUGAGAUACUUAAAUCUGUUGAAAGGAUAUCGAAUUCUAUAAGCAACAUGCUUCUUGCUUGUGGAAUGUGCAGGCUAUUCUUUCAUGGAAAAUUUGGUCUUAGGAUACUUGGGGAUAGGAAAUAGAGAAUUAAUCAAGGUAGAUUGUUGUUAAUCCAUUUUGCUUCAUAUCCUUCUAUUGAUGUAUGAUUAGCUCGUUCUUUCUAGACUACGCCAUAUACAUCAUUUCUUUAGCAAAUUUAUUUACUCCUGCUUGCAUAACUAUGUCGUAUGCAUCAUUAUGCUUAGCUCCUGCUUGCAAGAUUACUUGAGGAUAAUAGGAAGCAAUUAUGGUUUCAGAAUAAACCAAUCAGAAUAAGAAACACAUCCUCUAUACUCACAUCAUCUUUUAUACCUCAAUGCUUGUAGGUGUAGUGUUUUUUGCCCCAUGCAAAUUUGUGUUACGUCAUCUUUUAGAUACAAAUCAUGGUACCCUUGUUCCUGUCUUGACAUCAUGGUCAUGUUUUAAAAAAAGCAUUUUCUUAUUUAUGUUACACCCCACAUGUAUGUAUACAUAUAUUUCUUUUUUAUGUCUCUUUGAAGGUUGUUAGUGCCACAUGUAGGUGGGGUUGUAUUUUUUUAUUGGUGAAAGUUGUUGGUUCUACAUGUUGUGUCACCUUAUAUAAGGUGUAUUACACUUUAAAUAGUAAUGUGCAUAUCUCCAAAAUUUGUAGGGCUUCAAAAUGAGUGCCAAAAUUCUGGCGAAAUGUUGAUUUAUUUCCAUUUCACCACAUUUUGAGCACUCAAUAUUUUCAAUUUUUUUAGCAAAACUAUGCCCAACUUUUCCAAUGAUUCAUAAUUGUUUACCCUUAUUAUUUUAUAGAUGUACUGGCUAUACUAUAGUGUAUAAAUGAUGCGACGAACUAUGUGUUUUCUAUUUAAUUUCUCAACAUGAAUGUAUGCAAUCAACCAUGUAUACCCAUGAUGUGGUAACAUCAACGUAGGUGUGUGCCACAGGUGCUUAUCAACUCUAAGGAAUUCUACGUAGAUCUUGACGAGAACUUUCCACAGAGGAUUGUACGUUUUAAUUCAACAUGUGUUGUGGAUGCUGAAUUGCUCACAUAUAUAAAAUUACCCAAAAAAUGUCUAUUUUUCAUAUUUCUCCAUGCAUCCCUUGUUAUGCAAGGCUCACUUCCUACAUAAAGUGAACGUGCCAUAGAGGAGAAGGUUACAUUUGAGCUCAAGAUGAUCAUGUUAAAAAAUGGCACAACCUUCAACCUUACGGUCACCAACGAGGCACACGGAACCUUUCAGUUGCCCAUGUUGAAGAGGGAUUGCAACCGAAUAAAUGAUGCAAAAUGCGAAGGCAUUCUUGUUUUUUUAGCGAAGGCGUUCUUUGUCGUUUCUUGGCGAACAAGAUGAUGAUGACAACAUCUAUAUGUGGUUCACACCGCCCCCACCACCAUAGUUGUUCUUGGUGGAAGGAUUCGGAGUUCAUAGGCAUAGUUUUAUCAUGCACUUCAUUUAAUGCAUAUGUUAUAUCUUUUUAUAAUCAUCCAAAUUUAUUCCUCAAAUAACGGCUAUAUCAUUUAAAAUUAAAAGAGAAAUAGAGUUUAGGGGACUAGAAUCCCAAAUAGAAGAGGGUCUAUAGGUAAAACUAGUCUUUGCUAGAGAAUCUGCUAUUUUGCUUCCCAAAGCAAUGGGCAAAAGAUGUGCCAGCAAAGUCCAUCACCAGAAAAUAGCAUUCCACGAUAGUGGCUGCAUCUGGCUCGAAAUUAUUCGUAUGCCAGUUCACAACCUCCACAACUAGGAUACCCAUGAUGUUUCGAUAAUCACAUUAGGUUUCCAUCACAUUAUUGCACACAAUGUUUCCAGCCAAACGAGCCCUUUGCGAAUGGCACUUAACUCUAUCAAAUCGGCACUACUGACAUGAGGCAAAUACCAUGUAACAGUGAAUGACACUUAACUCUAUCAAAUCGGCACUACUAACAUUAGGCAAAUACCAUGUAGCAGUGAAUGGCACUUAACUCUAUCGAAUCGACACUAUCGACAUGAAGCAAAUACCACAUAGCAGCGAGAGAAAGUUGCCUUUGUCAUCACGUACAAUAGCUCCCAUCGCACUCGAUUGUGUUUCAUAACGGAAAGAAGCAUCCACACUAACAUUAACACUUCCCAUGUUAGGUCUCUUCCAUAUAUGAUAUUUUUUUCAUACAGCUGAUUUGAAGUUACUGCUCUUAUGAAAUCUUUGGCCAAAACAUUGAUAGAAACUGCUCCCUUUUAGGGUUUUGGAGAGUGUAGGAUCGAAAGUAUGUCUAGUGGAGGGGGCUUCAUUAGACUACUUGAUAAGAUAAAAACUGAACCUUUUUCCUAAUUUUAGUUGUGGGCUAGUUUUAGCAAUUAUGACUAGUCAAGUUCAUCCUACUCAUGCAUAUCUAAGAUUAUAGCAGCGGAAAGUAAAGACAUGCAAAUGUAAUGAAGAGGGUAAGGUAGGAAGAUCAAAUGCAAAGGUCGACACGGUGAUUUUUGGCGUGGUUCUGAUAGGUGGUGCUAUCGUACAUCCAUAUUAGUGGAGACUUCAACCCACGGAGGGUAACAGCUGCGAGAUUACACAAAGGGCUCCACCCACAAGGGCUCCACGAAGAAGCGGCCUUGUCCAUUCCACCAUGGCUUACGUCCACACAAGACUAACCUCACUCACGGUAGAUCUUCACGAAGUAGGCGAUAUCCUUGCCCUUACAAACUUCUUGGUUCAACUCCACAACAUGAAGUAGGAGGCUCCCAAGCGACACCUAACCAAUCUAGGAGGCACCACCCUCCAAAAGUUAAUAGAUGCAAUAGAAGGAUGAACUCCUUGCUCUUGUGCUUCAAAAGAUAGUCUCCUCAACACUCAAUCACUCUCUCAUAGAUUUUGCAUGGGUAGGAGAGAUUGAUCCCAUGGAAAGCAACUUGGGGAGGCUAGAGAUCAAGUUUCAAAUGGUUGAAUUGGAAUCUCUUGAUCUUAACACAUGCAUGAGUAGGUGGCUUUCUCUCAGAAAUAUGGAUCUGGCAAGUGGGUGUGUGUUCUCAGUGCUUCCUUUUCGAAUGCGAGGAGGUGGAGGGGUAUAUAUAGACAUCUCCCAGAAUCCAACCAUUACCACAUUAUUUCCCAAUGCGGUGACACCGAAAGGAAUCUUAGUGGUACCAAGUUGCAAUAAAUGUGGCACCUUUUGAAUUCUUGGUAGACCAAUAUAUGAAUCUCGAUGGUAAAGAUACGAUGAUCUAGACCAGUUUCCAAAUCUCGGUGAGACCAAUUCCAAUCUCGGAAAUUCUGAUUGUUGGAAUUUUCUCAACAGAAAGUUGGUCAUUGAAUCUCGGUGGCUCUCAUAUGAAAGUUUGUGGUACCGCCAGAUUAGAGUCUGGCAACGGAUCCAUUGGGUGGAAAAUUAGUAGGGCCAAGUGGAAAAUAUUGGUGGCACCGAUUUUGCUCGUUUAGCUUUGGACAGGGAUAUCUUGUGGGAGAAUGGCUUAGUAGUUUUGGUGGCUAUCUCUAAGCACUUGAGCAACCAAUUCACCGUAAUACCUCACCCCCUUUAAAUAGUAUUGGCCUUCCUAUGGACUCAAAGUGAUUUAUCACAUAUGUAAAAUGUAGAGUCUUCUUGCUUGAAGCUUGAGCUAAUCCUAUUCCUUCCUUCAUCAAGGGGUUUCUCCACACAAUCCUUUAGCCAAGGCAUCUUUGAACUUUUCUAAAAUAUACUUGGAUAACAUCAUUAGUCCAAUGAUGCAUAUGUUGUGAUCAAUUAUCAAAACCACCUUAGGGAGCAAUUGUGCUUUAAAUCUCUCCCUUUUUGGUAACUGACGACAACAUAUAGAUCAAAGCUUCAACAAAAGGUAUAAUCAAUUAUUAGCAUCGACGCUUUGAGAAGUACGUGGAAAGCAAGAGAUGCCCCUAUAUUUGUGCAUUAUUUUAUAUUUGCAUUGGAAUGCAAAUGCACAAUCGAUUAGGAUCAUGGGUCACUCUUCCAUGUCACAUAUAGCUUGGUGGUGCGCAUAAAUGAUAUGAAUAAAUAGUAAUGCACAUAACACCAAACAAGCAAGUGAAUGAUCAUCAAGUAGAUGGCUCCAAGGUAAUAACGUGGUAGCAGCAAUCAAACAAAGUAUAGAUCAAACACUUCUCCCAAACACAUAAAGUCAACCAAAAGACCAAAAAAUUGAAAAACCAAAUGAGACCAAAUAAAAUGCAAACCUCUCCCUCUCGAAGACUAUUUGAUCUAUACACUUGUCCUCCUUUGGCGACAAGUUACCAAAAAGUUUGAAGGUCUAGAACUAAUUAUCUCUCUGGCUUGAACUCCUCCGGUAGAUGAUGAUGGAGUGGAUAGGAGAGCGUCGAUGAAGGCUUUUGCACAUGUCCCUGGAGCUGGAGGUGUUGACACUAGAGGUGCAGGAGCAGGAGUUGAAGGUGCUAAAGCUUGAGCUGAUGAAGAUGGUCUUGCUUCCAGAACUGGCAUAGUUGUUGACCUAGUCUGGGUCGUGAACUGAGUAGUAGUAGGAAGAGGCGACUCUUCCUCAUCACUUCUAGAGCGGGAUAUAUGCACAGAAUCAACUUUAUGCUGGAGCUGCUCAACAGUGGUAGUCAACUCCGUUACCUUAACCUCCAAGUCAUGGAAUUUUGUCUCCACGAUCCUCUCAAGUCUCUUCUGGUUCAGCAAGAUCUCGGAAAUUUUCUUCUCCAUCCCUUGGAUGGUACUGACCAAGAAUGACAUCUGCUCAUCUCUGGUCCUGAGCUAUGCGGUUGAAGCUGGAGCAUUCCUAGCAGCCGCUGUCUCUGCUACCUCUGCUGCCGCUUGAGCUGUAGCUGAGCUAGGAUGGCUAGGGUCCAUCACAACUUCAUUAUCUUCAAACUCUGGCUGAAGUGGCAGGUGGGGACGAUCAAGUAGAUAUGCAUGCUUGCCAAUCUUGGCAUUGAUGAGCAUCUGAAUAUAUGGAGCAUAUCCACAGGAUUUCUUUUGAUCUACAGCAGUCUUCCUCACAUGCUCAACUAUCAAGUCCAUCAUUAUGAACCGGAAGUGGGUGUCUAGAUGAUCCAACAUGUUGAUGGAAUAACCUCUAAUAAUCUUAUCCUCUCCUGAUUUGGGCAUGAGGGUGUAUCUCAUAAUGGUGUUUGUAGUAGGUAUCCCUGCUUGCAAGAAAUAGACAAAUCCAAACUUGUACAUCUGCACAUAUUUAUGAGGCACUGGCUUGUACAUUUUGCCGUAGAGUUAUGAUUCAUCUUGGGUUCUGAGUACACAUCCAGAUCUCCUUCUUGUGCCUUUGGAUCACCAAUUGUAGUGGCUCACUCAUACAUAAUAGACUCAUACCGGUGACCUUCAGUCAUCCAUACAAUCCUUCCGUCAGAACAGAAAUUAGCGAUGGAAUAGAAUUGCAUGAUCAUCUCAUCAUUCCAAGCAGUCAUCUCUCUGCCAACAAAAUAUUUAAUAUCGACUAGCCUGAAGUUUUCUCUCACAUGGGGAAAAUAAUGCUCACUGGCCUUGAUAUAUUCCCAAUGGACAUAUCUCAUAUCGCUGACUGCAAGACUCUUAUCAUGAAACACACUCUCAUAGAAAUCUUGUUGCUCCUUUAUGUGAAAGCGGGGAUCAACAACAGUUCUCCGUCUCACAUCAUAUGGAUCAACUGAUCUCCACUUACUCACUCCUUGAUCUCUCCUCUUUUGUAUGUCCUGAGCAGUUGGUGAGCAACAUUGUGUAGUGGCAGAUGAGCUCAAAGCUUCAUUAGAACAGGGGCACCCUCUUCCUCUUCUACCGCAAACUCUCUGGAUGCAGAGCCUUUGUUCCUCUGUGCUGCAGGAAUGUCCUUGGUAGUCUUCUUGGGAGCUACAGACUUCUUAGGAGUUGAGAACUUCUUGGGAGCAGAAGGCUUCUUUGGCAUAGCAUCAACCAUCGGCUUUUUCUUCAUAGGAGGAGGGACCUUAUGUGGAAUUUAUUCCUCCUCCUCAUCAACAACUUCUUCUGGGUCUUCAUAUAUUGAGGUUGGCCUUCCAAUAACAUAGUCAAUUCUCUUUCUUGCUCUCGUAUGACAUGGCUUCUUUGCAAGCCUAGCUUCUGGAGCUUUCAUGUCAGAACGUAUGGCAUAUUCCUUCCUCACAGUCUUCCUGACUGCGGUCUUAUCUUUCUGCUUCUCAGGAACAGAUUCCUCUGGAAUAAAGUCAACAUCUUCUUCAUCCGAAUUGAUCUUCCUUCUGGACCUGGUAGCUGCCUUGGACAAGCUAUGGGAGCUAGGUGUCCCUGGGUCAGAAGGUGUCCUCCUAGGACUAGUGCCUGAAUCCAUCUCAGCACUUGGCUCAGUGAAGUUGUUCUGACUAUCCUCUGAUCCUGACAUACUGUCACAGAGCCAAGUAGACAAUCAAACCCUAUGAAUAGAUAUACAAGAUCUAGAAGGGAUGAGCAUCACAAAAAUCAGAAGUUUUGGAAAAAUCGAACUCUGAAAAGUUAGGUUUAACAUUUAGCAAAAAAGGAUUUGUGUUCCAUCGAGACAAAAAUUUCGGAGGCACCGAUACUGACGUACUAAUUAACAGAAACUUGGCACCCUUUUCCGUUCCACUGAAAAGGAGAACUCACUUUCACCGAGACCGUUCUCGGUAGCCCUAAAAAAUCGUUAAGACCAACUUUUCUAAAUCGGUGACACCGAGAUUCAAUCUUGCGGAUGGCUAACCCUAAGAAUUCCAUUGUUCUCUAAUCUAUGGAAUUUUUCUUCUAGAUAGGAUGAGUGUAGAAGUGGACAAAAUUCAUCAAAACCUUAAUGCACAAGAAUCAGAAUUGGAGCGCAUAAAGGGGUCGGAUCCGUACCCUAGCUUGGUGAUGUAUCCGCUACGGCAACGACGACGGUGAAGAUUCCUGUUGACAACGAAGACUCCGGUGGUGAGGGCGCACGUGAGAAUUAAGGCGAUGUCCACGGGACUAGGGCGCGGCAUCGAGGAUGUGCGUCACGCGACGUUUGAAGUGAUUUUCCAAUCAUCGGGUCCGUGAGAUAUAUAUAUCUCCUAGCUGUCGGUGACACCGAUAUGGAAUUUUUGGUGCCACCGAGUUCCACAACUGUCAACUGAAAGUGAAAAUAGGUGAGGCCGGAAAGAACAACUCAGUCAUACCAAGUUAAGAAAACCUGAUCAACCCUAGGCUUCGGUGGGACCGAGAUUUUGUGGUUGGUCACACCGAGAUGCAAUUUGGGAGGUUUUGGGAUUCAGCACUUGUCGAGACGGAUCUAUCAAGCACUUGUGUCCCUAAAGUUCUUGCUCAAAUUUUGUGUUGUAGCAUGAAUAGAAUUUGAGACGAGAAAGCAUAGAUAGCUAGAGGGAAGUACUUAGGCAUUCUUGUAUAUCCAAUUGGCCAAAUGAAAUAGAAAGACAAAUAACAACAAUUGGAUAUCCUCGAAUGAGAAAAAUAUGCAUACCAACAUGCUCACACAAUAAGGUGUCAAAUAAAACAUGGUGAACAUGCACGAACAUUCUAGCAUCUAUCAAGCACUUUGGCGAUAAGGAAUUCAUCUAUAUAUGAGUAUAUUGACAUAGGAGCCAAGUAAGAGUACUUGACAAUAGGUCAUACUCAUCGAUUAAGAACAAGUGGGGUUAUCACUUUUACAUAAAACAUUAAUGUGCUCACAUCAUUUAGGAGACGCUUAUACUCAAGUCUUAGAGUAAAGCUCCUCCUAGAUGUGACAACCCCCUAAGAGGGAUAAACUAACCUUAGGUUUUGUAGUAGAAGAUUUCAAGUAGGUGUAGUAGUGGUGCAUGCUCAUUGUUGAUAAAGAUCAUCUUUGAGUUGGGAGCAAUCCUAGUUGUUUCUUACCCUUCUCACCUACAUGGGUUAGUCCCAAAGCAAAAGGAAUGUAUGCAAGAAUAUCUAUGGACAUGGCAUGAAGUGCAUGAGAGGUGAUGUAAAAAUAUGCAUUAAUUACCUUGUCCUUUGCUUACCUUUGAGGUAAUGUGUGACUCCUUGAACUAAUGCAUAUGGUUGGAGUUGAUUGCAUAUAGUUCUUGCCAAAAUGAAUAAGAGUGAAUUUGAUUGGUAGAGUCACCCCCUCAAGAAGUUUCUAGUUCUUCAUCUUAGGGACCCACAUCAACUUGAUGGGGAUCCUUGGAGUUGUGAUAGCAGUAGAUGAGGUAGUGUUAGUUGUGUCCAUGGGAUUCCACUCGACCUUGGCUUGGGUUUCUUCCUCAAAUGAUUCAAUCUCCUCUUGAAGCUUUCCCUUGCCCUUGUGAUCUUGUGGUUGAAGGUCAUGUUGAGAGCUUGUUCCCUUGGGAAGAGUAGGAUCAUACUUUUCCUCUUGAGGAACGAACUUCGGUAUGGGAUAUAGACCUUCUUCCCAUUCAUCUCCGUUGGCAUUGAGGUAACCAACACCGUGCUUCUUCCGAUGUCCUCCUAGCUUGCGCAUAAUUUACUCGAAUUGCUAACUUUCGGCAAGACUCUUGAAGACACCUCUCUCUUCCUUUCCAUAAAUCAUUUUCUUUCUCAAGUGUAACUUGGCUAAGAGAAUCAUUAGUGGAAUCAAGAGAGCUACUAGAAACAACAUCAUUUGAUCUAACUUUAGCAUUUUGUUACUAGAUGAAGAAACUUUCUUGCAUUUGUUACUAGUGUUCUUAGGUUUGACUUGUGGAAUAAAAGUAGAUAAGAUUAAUCAUUUGAAUAGAUAAGAAUAACUCUUCUUCCGAAGAUCAUCAUUGAUUGCUCUUAGAAACUCAUGAUCUUGUCCUAAAUUUAGCUUCUCGAAGCAUAACUUCUCAUGAGUUCUUGCAAGCUCCCUUUGAUCUUCUAGAGUAGUUUCACGAGCUAACUUAAGAGUGUUAAAUACUUUAGUUAGUUGUUGAGUAUCUUUCUUAUCAUCAUCAUUCGAUUUCUCUUGACUAGCAUGAUUAUGUUCAAGUUCAUUUUCAAUGUUCUCACUAGUCUUAUCAAGGAGCAAGUCAUCUCCUCCUAACAAGUCAUCCUCAUCACUAUCAGAGUCAAAGUAAUUGGGGUGUGAUACCUUGGGGCCUUUUUCCAUGAAGUUGUUUCCAGUCCCUUCAUUUGGUGAAUCAAAUAAGUCAUAGGAGUUGGAGGAAACGAGUUCAAGACCGACAACACCUUCAUCUUGACUAUAGUCAGAGUUGGAGUGGUAGCUUCUCUCAGAUUGGUUGUCAGACUCGGAGCCGGAAAGCCUUUCACCAACAUGAUCUUGAUGUCUUGUUCUUGAGAUGCUCUUGGUGUACUUGUCCUUCCUCUCCAAUUCCUUUCCUCUCUGGGAGUGUCUUCGUUCAUAAUGAUCUUCUCUAAUCCUUCUCUUUGUGAGAGGUGACUCAUCUCUUGAGCUUCGUCUUCUAGGUGACUAUUCUCUUCUUUUGUGGGGAGCCGAGCACUCAUUGGAAUAGUGUCCUGGGUUUCCAUAGUUGUAGCAGUAUCGGUCACGACUAGACGAACGCUUCUCAUCAUGUAUUGAGCUUGAGCUUCUCUCCUUGCAUCUACUUUUGUAGAACUUGUUCAAUUUUAUGACCAUGAGGUUGAUCUCUUCAUUCGUAACAAAGUUGUCAUUUGAAGUAUCUUGAGUAUAACUUGAAACUCUGUAAGUACCGCUUGACUUGUUGUGCAACUCAUCUUUGUCCUUGAGUGACAUUUCAUGAGCAACAAUCCUUCCAAUAGCUUCAGUUGGCUUGAGAUCCUUGUAGUUUGGCAUCAUUUGAAUUAAUAUACACACGGUGUCGUAUCUUCCAUCCAAGGCUCUAAGUAUAUUCUUGAUGAUGAAUUAGUCGGUCAUCUCUUCACUUUCUAAGUCGGCAAUCUCAGCGACUCCCUCACCAUCCUUCAUCUUGAACUUGUCAAGAUGACUUUGAGGCACAUCCAACUUAGAUUCCAUGACAAAAUCAGCACCUUCGUGCAGAUGAAUCAAAGUAUCCCACGUGCAGAUGAAUCAAAGUAUCCCAAAUUUUCUUUGCAUUCUCAAGGCUUGAGAAUUUUAUUGCAACAUGUUCAAUUCUUCCGAUGUCGCAUCACGAUCCGGUUCCCUUGCUUCUCCAAAUAAAUCACCUUGCACACCAACACGAAUAACAGCCCAAACGGUAGGAUUAUGACCAAGAAUAUGCAUUUUCAUCUUAUGCUUCCAACUAGCGAAGUUUGUACCAUCGAAAUAUGCACCUCUACAGUGAUAAUUUCCCUCACUAGGCGCCAUACUCUCCUAGGUUGUGAAACCAAUGCAAUGGAGGCCAAAACUUUGAUACCACUUGUAGGAUCGAAAGGAUGUCUAGAGGGGGGAGGGUGAUUAAACUACUUGACAAGAUCAAAACUUAGCCUUUUCCCAAUUUUAGUUGUGGUCCAGUUUUAGAAACUACGAGUGGUCAAGUUCAGCCUACACAUGCAUAUCUAAGAGUAUAGAAGCGGAAAGUAAAUACAUGCAAAUGUAAUGUAGAGGGUAAGGUAGGAAGAUCAAACACAAAGGUUGACACAACUAUUUUUGGCGUGGUUCCGAUAGGUGGUGCUAUCAUACGUCCACAUUAGUGAAGACUUGAACCCAUGGAGGGUAAUGACUGCGAGAGUCCACGGAGGGCUCCACCCAUAAGGGGUCCACGAAGAAGCGGCCUUGUCUAUUCUACCAUGGCUUACAUCCACACAGGAGACAAGACUAGCCUCACUCACGGUACAUCUUCAUGAACUAGGCGAUCUCGUUGCCCUUACAAACUUCUUGGUUCAACUCCACAACACGAAGUAGGAGGAUCCCAAGCGACACCUAACCAAUCUAGGAGGCACCACCCUCCAAAAUGUAAUAGAUGCGGUAGAAUGAUGAACUCCUUGCUCUUGUGCUUCAAAAGAUAGUCUCAUCAACACUCAAUCACUCUCUCACAUAUUUGGCAUGGGUAGAAGAGAUUGAUCUUGUGGAAAAAACUUGGGGAGCCUACAGAUCAAGUUUCAAAUUGUUGAAUUGGAGUCUCUUGAUCUCAACAGAUCAGUAGGUUGCUCUCUCUCAGAAAUAUGGAUCUCGCAAGUGGGUGUAUGUUCUGAGUGCUUCCUCUAUGAAAUUGAGGAUGUGGAGGGGUAUAUAUAGGCAUCUCCCAAAAUCCAACCGUUACAACAUUAUUGCCCAACUCGGUGACAUUGAAAGGAAUCUUGGUGGUAUCGAGUUGCACUAAAUGUGGCAACUUUUGAAUUCUCGAUGAGACCAAUAUAUGAUCUCGGUGGUACCGAUACGAUGACCUAGACCAGUUUCCAAAUCUCAGCGAGACCGGCUCCAAUCUCGGAAAUUCUGAUUCUUGGAAUUUUCAUAACAGAAAGUUGGUCACUGAAUCUCGGUGGCACUGAUAUGAAAGUUGGUGGUACCGAGAGAUUAGGGUUUGGCAAAGGAUCUCUCUGGUGGAAAAUCAGUAGGGUCGAGUGGAAAAUAUUGGUGGCACUGAUUUUGCUGGUUUAGCUUUGGACAAAGAUAUAUUGUGGGAGAAUGGCUGAGUAUUUUUGGUGGCUAUCUCUAUGCACUUGAUCAACCAAUUCAUCAUAAUACCCCACCCCUUUUAAUAGUAUUGGGUUUCCUAUGGACUGAAAGUGAUUUCUCACAAAUGUAAAAUGUAGAGUCUUCUUGCUUGAAGCUUAAGCCAAUCCUAUUCCUUCCUUCAUCAAGGGGUUUCUCCUCACAAUCCUGUAGCCAAGGAAUCUUUGAAUUUUUUCCGAAAUAUACUUUGAUAAGCUCAUUAGUCCAAUGAUGCAUAUGUUUUGAUCAAUUAUCACGACCACCUUAGGGAACAAUUGUGCUUUCAGAGAGUUUCACCCCUCACAAACUGUUGUCGUUGCCACCAUAUAAACUAAGAAGCCACUACAAUCAGUUAUGAUGUUGGCAGCUCCCCUACUUUGGAUUGGUUUCUCUCUAAAACCUCAAUAGUUACAGAUCCUGACCGGUCCUCACAAACUGCCUUAUGGAUCACAUCUUUCACUCCAAGCUUUUUCCAAAUUCUAGAAGCACAACAAGAGGUGAAUAAGUAGUUAGAUAUCUUCAAACCCAACAUUGACUAGUAACAUGUAUGUGACAGCCAGUGAGCACUCCAAAGCAUGGUCGAAUUCCCCUCAGAACCUUCCAUGCAAAGGGUUUAACUUUGCGACAAACUCGAAGCCUUCAAGUAUGUUGUGUGUAAGUGUUAAACAUAAGAAAGUUGUUAAACUAAAUUGUGUUCUUAAUUUGUGCUAUAUAACUAGAUAUUGUGCCUUCUAUGAUACUACAAUUACUGUUAAACUGAAAAGCCCGCCACGACAACCAAAAAUGUUGACGUGUUCACUUGGCCUGACAAACAAUACUAGUGGCGGGCAUGUAUAAUAAACUGCCACUGGUACAAACAUUAGCAGUGGUGGACGCCCUGCCUGCCACUGAUGACUGGUUAGUAGCGACAGACACCCUUCACAAUAACCCUGCCAUUGGUAGGCAUUUUGUGUCUGCCACUGCUAGCCUGUUCUCCAGUAGUGACAAGGGUUUUCCUCCAAGACUAUAUCAUUCAUACCUAGUAUGCGUAGGAGUUAUCACCCGAUUUAAUGCAUGCAUGAUAGCAUGAAUCCUUUAGGGAUAAUUUGGAAGCAAGGUAAAGAAAAUGAGGGUAGCAAAUCCUCCCUUAUCACAUGAAUUUAAACAUCCCAUGUUAUUCACUUUAUUAAGUUGCCCCAUUUCAUUAAGUAAAAUUGUGCCCCUCAAAUUCACAAGAUUCCAAAGUUGUGGGAAUGAAAAGUACAAUGAGACGUCCAACUAAAUCAUAUAAUGUUUGUGAAUUUUGAAUCAAAGUUUUUUGAUUGUGCCACAGAAAGAACAAGAAUAUUAUUUACACUUUGUUUGAGCCAAUGCAAUUUUUCUUAUGUAAUGCAAGCAAAAUUGAAUCUGAAGGAGAAAAAUUUCCAAUAGGAUACGACUUUGGGGAUCAAAUAACACCCAUAGUAAAAAAGCAUAGGUCUAUUUAUAUCACAUCUAUAUUAUCUCACAUCUAAGUUAUGACAUCAGCGAAAGUCAAUGCUUUUCCAGCCCACCGCAUUUUCUUAUAUUUAUUUUUUUGCGACAUUUUUUCAUUCGUUUUUUUAUUGGAGCGUGCUAAAAAAUGCAAUAAGACUUGCCUAUGAAUCGAACUCAAGACUAGAUGGUGGUAGUUGAGAGCUCCCACCAGUAUAACCAUUACAUGCAUUUGAUAAAUUCUAAGCGGCAUAUCUUUAAGAAAAUACAACAGAGUUGAUAUUAGAAGAAAUUUUCAAGAAAAAUGUAAAAAAUUUUAAAUGUAAAAUAUUUCUGAAAACCAAAGAAAACUUGAAAUUUCCAAAGUAUUUUUCAAAUAUAAAUAAAGUUUGUAAUGCCAAACAUUUUUUGAAAAAUUAGAAAACAAUUUGAUAUUCCGAUUUUCUUAAAAAAGAUGACACUUUUUGAAAAAUUCCCGAACAAUUUAUAAAUCAGGUACACCUUUUAAAAUUCCAAUUCCUUUAAAAAACAUGGUUAAAUGAAUAUAUUUUUAUUGUAAUCAUAACUUUUCAACAAAUGUUUUUUUGCACCAUUAAAAGAAUGAGGGUGCAAAGAAUGUUCAUGUAGUUCACAAGAAUGUCCGUGAUGUUUAAUAAAAAUGUAUUAUACAAUGGAAAAUAAUCAUAACAUUCAAAUAAUUAUUAUUUACAAUCUUUUAAAAGAAACUUCACGCAUUUAGAAAAAUCAAAACAUUUUCUAGAAAAAAUAUUUGUCCGAUGUAAAAAAAAUGUUCACGUAUUUUUUUAAAAAUCAUACAAUUUAGAAAAAUGAUUUAAAAAAUGUUUACCAUGUAUUCUAAGAAUGCUUGGGCCUGUACUUGGAAAAAAAUAUUCAUCAUGCAUUUUUAAACAAUGGUAUGUGUGUUAAAAAAUGUUCCUAGUGUAUACAUGAAAAUGUACAAUGUGCAUUACAAAAGUUGACAUGUAUUUGUGAAAGCUAAAUUGCUCCCUAAGGUGGUUUUGAUAAUUAGUCACAUCAUAUGCAUCAUUGGACUAGUGAGUUUAUUCAAAUGCAUUUAAAAAAGUUCAAAGAUGCUUUGGCUAUAGGAUUCUGUGGAGAUACCCCUUUGAUGCAAGGAAGGAAUAUGAUUGGUUCAAGCUUCAAGCAAGAAGACUCUACAUUUUAUACUUUGUGAGAAAUCACUUUGAGUCCAUAGAAAAGCCAAUACUAUUAAAAAAGAGUGAGGUGUGAUGAUGAAUUGGUUGCUCAAGUGCUUAGAGAUAGCCACCAAAAAUACUGAGUCACUUUCCGACAAAAUAUAUAUGUCCUAAGCCACAUAAGCAAAAUCGAUGCCACCAACAUUUCCUACUCGUCCAUACCGAUUUUACACUUAGACAAAUUAUAUGCCAAACCCAUCAUCUCGGUACAACCAACAUUCCUAUCGGUGCCACCGAGAUUUGGUGACCAACAUUCUGUUGAGAUGAUUUCAAGUUUCGGAUUUUUUGAGUUUGAAUUUUGUCUCACCGAGUUUUGGAAACCAGUCUAGGUCAUCGUAUCGGUACCACCAAGAUUCUUAUAUCGGUCUCACCGAGAAUUCAAAAGUUGCCACAUUUAGUGCAACUUGGUACCACUGAGAUUCUUUUUGGUGUCACCGAGUUGGGCAAUACUGUUGUAACGGUUGGAUUUUGGGGGAUGCUUAUAUAUACCCCUCCACCUACCUCUCAUUCGUAGAGGAAGCACUCAGAACACACUUACACUUGUGAUAUCCAUUUUUCUGAGAGAGAGACACCUACUCAUGUGUUGAGAUCAAGAGAUUCCAAUCCAUUCAUUUGAACCUUGAUUUCUAGCCUUCCCAAGUUGCUUUCCACAAAAUCAAUCUCUCUUACCCAUGCCAAAUCUAUGAGAGAGUGAUUGAGUGUUGAGGAGACUAUCUUUUGAAGCACAAGAGCAAGGAGUUCAUCGUUCUACCACAUUGAUUACCUUUUGGAGGGUGGUGCCUCCUAGAUAGGUUAGGUGUCUCUUGGGAGCCUCUUACUUCGUAUUGUGGAGUUGAACCAAGAUGUUUGUAAAGGCAAGGAGAUCGCCUACUUCAUGAAGAUGUACCGUGAGUGAGGCUAGUCCUUCGUGGGCGGAAGCCGUGGUGGAAUAGACAAGGUCACUUCUUCGUGGACCCCUUGUGGGUGGAGCCCUCCGUGGACUCUCGCAGCCGUUACCCUCCAUGGGUUGUAGUCUCCACUAACAUGGACGUACGAUAACGCCACCUACCGGAACCAUGCUAAAAAUCUCCGUGUCAACCUUUGUGUUUGAUCUCCCUACCUCACCCUCUACUUUUUUUUGAUGGGAAACUGUAAGCAAAACCCCUCACAACGAGUUUUUUUUGAAAUAAUAAGAACUCAAAUUCGCGCCCGUGGGGACUUGAACGUGGGUGGCUGGGUUGUACAUCUACUCCACUAGACAAGUGAGCUAGGCUCACUUCCUUUACUCUUGCAUGUUUUACUUUCCGCUGCUAUACUCUUAGAUAUGCAUGUGUAGGGUUUACUUGACUAGUUAUAGUUGCUAAAACUGUCCCACACUUCAAAUUGGGAAACAACUAAGUUUUUAUCUUGUCAAGUAGUCUAAUCACCCCGCCUCUAGACAUACUUUCGAUCCUACAAUUUGGAAAAAUAACUAUAUAGGGGUACUGGGUUGGGAAUGAUUUGCAUGAGGAGAGUGGACAUGCAACUAUGUCGGACAUGAGCUGCAUGACUGAGUCGGGUGGGUUUACGUGUUGGGGUGGAAUGGAACUAGAUAGGGGCCGAGGCAAGUUGCGUGUUGAAAAACAAAACACAAGCUUACUUGUGCAUUAAGGGUGGACUUGCAAUUGGAAGAAGAGCUAGGUUGUGAGUGGAGGAUAGACUUACAUAUGGGACAACUACAAAUUGAGACCAAUUGCGUGUCAAUGGUUGACUUAAAACUGGGAUAAAACAAACUAUGGUUCAAGUUGCGAGUUAACGGUGGAUUUGCAACUAGGAUGAUGACAAAAAUAUAGGCUCACUUGCGAGUCAUUUGUGGGCUUGCAACUGGAAUAAAACAAACUAUGAGACUAGUUGCGAGUCGAUGUUGGACUUAUAACCGAGACAAGCAUAUAAACUAUGAUACGAGUUGAGAGUUGAGAGUAAACUUGCAAUUGAGAUGAAAAACAAAACACAUACCCAAUUGCGUGUCGAGGAUGGACUUGUAACUGAGAAAACAAAAAUAUGGGCCCGACUGCGAAUCGAGGAUGGACUUGCAACAGGGACAACAAAAAAACUAUGAUCCCACUUGUGAUUCGAGGACAAACUUGCAAUUGAGGCCCCUACAAGUACAAAGCCCUUAGUUACGAGUUGAGGUUGGAUUCGCAACUCGGGAAACUACAGGUACAGAAAGCCCAGUUGCGAGUCGAGGAUGGACUUGGAACCUUGAAAAUACGACUACAAAAAAGCCUCUGUUCCGAUUUGAGGGUGGACUUGCAACUGGGGCAACUACAUGUACAAAAAGGUCCCAGUUGUGAGUCGAGGGUAGAUUUUCAACUACGAUAACUACAGGUACAAACCUCGAGUUACGAGUCAACGGUGGACUUGCUACUAGGGUACCUAAAAUUACAACGCCUCGAGUUACGAGUCGGCGAUGGAGUUGAAGCUGGUGCACCUACAACUACAAAGCCUCGAGUUGCGAGUUGAGGAUGGACUUGCAACUAGAUUAACUACAAAGUACAAAAGAAAACCAGUUGUGAGUCAAGGGUUGACUUGCAACUAAGACAUCCACAGUUACACAAAAACCCCUAGUUGCAAAUCAAGGAUGGACUUGCAAGUGGAGCAACAAUAGGUACAAAGCCAGUUGUGAGUCGAUGGUAGACUUGCAACUUGGCCAACCACAACUACAAUACCUUCAAAAGAAGGGUGAAACUAUGAAAUUGGGAUGAAACCAACUAUGGGACCAGCUGCGUGUCGAGGGUGGACCUGGAACCGGGAUAAGAAAAAAAGUACAAGCUCAAGUUGUGAACCGAUGAUGGGGUUGAAACUCGAACAACUACAGGUUCAGUUACGAGUCGAUGAUGACUCCAAACUUGCACAACUACAAAACUAGGAGCCCAGUUGCGAGUCAUGGGUUGAUUUGCAACUAGGAUAAAACAAACUACUGGACCAGUUGCGAGUCAAGGGUGGACCUGCAACCGGCAUGAGAAACUAAACACAGUCUGAGUUGCGGCUCAAGGGUGGGCUUGAAACUGCUAUGAAACAAACUUCAUGCCUAGUUGCGAGGUCAGGAUGUACUUGUAACUGGGACAACUACAUGAAACUAAGAUAUGAGUUGCAAGUCGAGGGUGGACUUGCAACACGGACAAACUACACAAAACUACGAUACGAGUUGUAGUCGCGAGGGUGAACUUGUAACUGGGACAACUACAAAACUACGAGUCGAGUUGCAAUUCAAGUAUAUCAUUGCAAUUGGGAUGAAACAAACUACGGGCCUAAUUGCGAGUCAAGGGUGAACCUGUAACUGGGAUGAAAAACUACACAUAGACCGAGUUGCGAGUCAAGACUAGACUUGCAUCUAGGAUGAAAUAAACUACGGGCCUAGUUGUGAGUCAAGUGAGUACUUGCAACUCGGGAAAAUACACAAAACGACUACGAGUAGCGAUUCAACAGUUGACUUGCAACUCGGACAACUAAAUGAAACUACGAUAAGCGUUGCGAGUCCAGGGUAGACUUGCAGCUGGGACAACAAUAAGGCUAUGGGCUCAGUUGCGAUUCGAAGGCAAAUUUGCAAUUGGGACAACUACGAAACCAUGAGCCCAGUUGUGAGUCAAGGGUGAACUUGCAACCAGGAUGAAACAAACUACAUGCCUAGUUGCGAGGCAAGGGAGGACUUGCAACUCGGCAAGUACACAAAACUACCAUACUAUUUGGGAGUCAAGGAUGGACUUGCAACCGAAACAAUAACAAACUACGAGCCCAGUUACGAGUUGAAUGUGGACUUGCAACUAGGAUGAGAAAAACACAUAAUGAUUUAUGAGUUUAGGGUAAACUUGUAACUAGGAAAACUAAAAAUUCAUUUACGAGUUAAAGAUGGACUCUACAAAUUCUCGGUCAUGCCAAAAAAACACACAACGAAAAUGAACAAAAAAUAUAAAGGGAUCGCGCCUCCCAAGCAACGAUAAAAGUAACAUGAGAACAUGCGAGCAUAAAACAAAAUGGAACAAGAGGACGCGCGACAAGAGAGAAAGAGCUGACACGGACGCACAUGAUCGACUUUGUGCAAACAUCAAACAAAUCAGAUGAUUAUAACUUGAUAAGACAUCACUAAAUCUCAUCUAAAUAAGAUUUAGCAAAUCUAAAAAAUAUCUAGUUACACUCUCCUCUACUACACAGUCAAACUAAAAUAAACAUAUAACCCACAAAAAGCUAGUACACACAACGUAAAAGGGCACACUAAAAAAAGUCAUAUAUGACCUCACUGCUUAACGAGGAGCGAAUGAAAAACACGACACAUCAACAAUGAAAGUGAAUCAUAAGCAUAUGAAUCAGAUGAGACGUUGUUAACUCACAUUUACUCCCUCCGUACCUAAAUAUAAGUCUUUUAAUAUAUUUCAUUAGGUGUCUACAUACAAAGCAAAAUGAAUGAAUCUAUACUCUAAAACAUGUCUAUAUACAUUUGUAUGUAGUCCAUUAGUGCAACAUCUAGAAAGACUUAUAUUUAGGAACGGAGGGAGUAGAUGAGAAUUAGACGUGAGUUAACAAAAACAAUAAAAAAAGAAACCCCUGGAUCAUACCGUAGUGACCCACCAAAUGACGCACGUAGAAGUAGGUAAGUAAGUAAGUAUCUUGGAUUACCUGCGAUAGUGGGAGCAGAUAGGAGUGAAAGCUUUGAAUACUUUUGUGACAAAAUCAAGAAGCUUCUGAAGGGGUGGAUGGAAAAGCAACUGUCAACAGGAGGGAAAGAAAUCUUGUUAAAAGCAGUGGCUCAAUCCAUCCCUGUCUUCGCUAUGUCAGUUUUCUGUUUGCCUAAGGGAACUUGCAAGGAUAUCACGGAUGUAAUUGCUCAGUAUUGGUGGGGAGAUGAUGAAGAAAACAAAAAAAUGCACUGGUUCUCGUGGUGGAAACUAUGCAUCCGAAGUGUGAUGGUGGCAUGGGUUUCCGCGAUCUUCACUCUUUUAACUUGGCCCUUCUUGCGAAACAAUGUUGGAGAUUGAUCACAAGGUCGGAGUCCAUCUGUGCUCGCAUCUUGAAGGCAAAAUACUACCCAAAUACAGACUUGCUACACGCUGGACCAAAGAGCGGAUCUUCGUUCACAUGGCAAAGCUUGAUGGCGGGCUUGACUGCGUUUAAAAGAGGGUACAUUUGGCGAAUUGGUUCGAGGGAAAAUGUAAGUAUAUGGAAUGAUCCAUGGAUACCCUCAAGCCCGGACAGAAGGGUGAUAACUCCUCGGCGGCAGAUUCUGAUUUCGAGGGUGGUAGAGCUCAUUGAUCCAGUCACCGGCCAAUGGGAUGAACAAUUGAUACGAGACAUCUUUUACCCAGUCGAUGCAAACAGAAUCUUGCAGAUACCUUUAAAUUUUCAAGCAUUUGAUGACUUCAUUGCGUGGCACCUCACAAGGAAUGGUAUUUUCUCGGUGAGGAGUGCUUAUCAUGAACAAUGGUCACAUAAGCUCAGGGGUCAAUCCCUUGUGAAUUCAGUGUCCACCAGUACUAUGCAGGCAGCUAUUUGGAAGAAGCUCUGGGAGUUACAAGUGCCAUGGAAAAUACAGAUUUUCUUUUGGCGGGCGUUGCGUGGAAUUGUACCACUAAAAUCCAUUCUUGCUAAUAAGCACAUCCCUAUUGAUGGGGAGUGUCCGGUGUGCCAUAGGGGACCUGAAGACAUGCGGCAUAUGUUAUUCCAGUGUGAUUUGGCGAGAAGGUUGUGUGCUGGACUAGGGCUGAUUGAUCGUAUUGAACAAGCAGUUCAAGUGGAUCGCUCAGGGUCAGCCAUCUUAGAAUUUCUCCUACUAGAGCUGGACCAACCAAUGUCGAUCAUGUCAAGUAUUAAUGACAAAGAGGUAAUAGCGGCUGGCUGCUGGUAUCUCUGGUGGCUCCGCCGGCGACACACCCAUCAUGAUUCUUGCCCUCCAUCCUUCAGGUGGCAUACCUCAAUUCUAGCAAUAGUGGGAAAUUACAUAAAAUCUUUAUCAAAGAAGAGGGAACCGGUGGAACACAAGUGGAAGAGACCAGAGGCAAGAUUUAUAAAGCUAAAUGUGGAUGCUUCAUUCCAUUCAGAUGAAGGAUCGAGUUCUACUGCAGGUAUCUUACGAGAUGAAAAGGGUGGCUUUAUUGCAGGGUUUUGCAGAUUCAUUCCCUUUGCAGCUGACGUUGUCACGAUUGAAGCAAUGGCAAUGCGAGAUGGUUUACAUUUGGUGAACUCCUUGGGCUUUAACAGGGUAGAAGCGGAAUCAGAUUCUUUGAGCGUCAUCAAGUGUUGCCAAGGGCAAGAUCAGUGGUGGGAUGCAGCAGCGGCUGUCUUUGCUGAGUGCAUAGAUAUGGCUACAUCUAUAGGAAAGGUCAUCUUUUCUCAUUGUUUUCGUGAAGCUAAUUCAGUAGCUCAUGAGCUAGCAAAGUUUAGUUUCUGUAAUAAAGUUGAGCACAAUUGGACUAAUGAACCUCCUGAGUUCUUAGUUAGCCAAUUGAUGAAUGAUGUUUUGAUUAUUUGAGUUAAUAAAGCUAGCCAUGAUGGCCUUUCCUCAAAAGAAAAAAGGAAACGCAUGUACGCGACACUAGAUGCAGCAACAAAAUAAUCCAUGAUUAAGAUUUGAAAAAAUGUAAAACAAACAGAUGAGAGUAUGUUUUUCAUGAAUAUUAAAAAAAAUGGAAAACAAGAAAAUACAAAUAUAAAUAAAAGAAAACCAGGAAACUAAAAUACUUGAUAAUUUGAAACAAAUAAUAAAACAGAAAAAAGAAAAAGAAAAAGAAGAAACAACAAAAGUAAUGCGGCAGCCGAUAUAGGCUACAGCCCAUAUAACAAGAAGAACCUAUAGGUACGAGGGCAGCUACCUAACAUACCGUUGGCGAUCCUAAAAAAAGUGAUCCUCAAACGCAACAUUCGUUUCUUCAAAAACAGGGUUGGGGGGGGGGGGAUAACAUAGUGUAUGAAACAGAACUACUAGACGGAUGAAAAAAGCAAAUCAAUCCGUGGUUGGAUGAUUGGAGAGACAGUGAUAUCCCAGCACAUCAGGGUUUAAAUCCUGAUGCUACACUAUUUUUAAAUUUAUUUCAGGAUUUCCGACAAUAUGCUUUCAGUGGGAGGAGACAUUCCCGUCGAGGAUAAGAUGCCUACAGUGACUUUGUAAAUCUCAAGACGAUAUACUCGCUCAGUCUUUGAGAGAUGUUCAUAGGGAUAAGAUGUGUGUAUGUUCGGUUUAGGAGUUAAAUCUGAGAUAAGUAUUUUACAUCUAGAUGUGAAAUAGCAAUUUCAAAAAUUCAUAUGAAAAAUCUCUGAAUGAAAAAGACUCAUUAACUUAGAAACUCCAUGCAAAAAUACAAGGCUAACUUUUUUUCUCUUAAAUAAAAAAGAAAAAUAGAGAAAAAUGACGGAGGAUAACACUUGGCAGUGGGCGGGUGAAACACAUCACAAUUUUAUUUUCAAAUUGAUCUCUAACCAGGAAAAUACCCCGCGCAUACAACCAAGACCACGCACUCACCCCAUCGCAUGGCCUCCACACGCCUUGUCGAUAUCCAUGGUGGCAUCUAGCGCCGGCCGGGUGGCACGGAUCCCCCUUCACUCCCUCAGCGUGUGAACGUCGUCGCUCCAGCCCAACCGUUGCUCGUGUUCAGGAUAAGCUGCCCAGCUCGUCCGCCCUUCUUAUUGCCGCUGCUUCUCAGCUCACACGCUCCAACACUAUCCUCUCGUGUCUCGUCGAGCUAUCUGUCCACGGAGUAGUACCUUCCCGAGCUAGCUCGCAGCUCCGCCGCAAUGGCCACCGUGGUGAGCAGCCUCCGCUUGCCCUUCUCCGUCUGCGCCGCCGCCCCCUCGGCGCCCAUGGCAUCCCGCGUCGCGCUCCCGCUGUCGUCGACGGCUGCCAGGGGCAUGAGGCUCCGCGCGCAGGCGACGUACAAGGUGAAGCUGAUCACGCCGGAGGGCGAGGUGGACCUCGAGGUCCCCGACGACGUCUACAUCCUCGACCACGCCGAGGAGGAAGGGAUCGACCUGCCCUACUCCUGCCGCGCCGGCUCCUGCUCCUCCUGCGCCGGGAAGGUGGUCUCCGGCCAGCUGGACCAGUCCGACCAGAGCUUCCUCGACGACGACCAGAUCGAGGCGGGGUGGGUGCUCAC
rnacentral:lncRNA from 1 species